AUUGAACGCUGGCGGCAGGCCUAACACAUGCAAGUCGAGCGGAUGAGGAGAGCUUGCUCUCUGAUUUAGCGGCGGACGGGUGAGUAAUGCCCAGGAAUCUGCCUGGUAGUGGGGGAUAACGUCCGGAAACGGGCGCUAAUACCGCAUACGUCCUACGGGAGAAAGCAGGGGACCUUCGGGCCUUGCGCUAUCAGAUGAGCCUAGGUCGGAUUAGCUAGUUGGUGAGGUAAUGGCUCACCAAGGCUACGAUCCGUAACUGGUCUGAGAGGAUGAUCAGUCACACUGGAACUGAGACACGGUCCAGACUCCUACGGGAGGCAGCAGUGGGGAAUAUUGGACAAUGGGCGAAAGCCUGAUCCAGCCAUGCCGCGUGUGUGAAGAAGGUCUUCGGAUUGUAAAGCACUUUAAGUUGGGAGGAAGGGCAGUAAGUUAAUACCUUGCUGUUUUGACGUUACCGACAGAAUAAGCACCGGCUAACUUCGUGCCAGCCGCCGCGGUAAAAC
rnacentral:rRNA from 1 species